UUCACGAACGCUGCUACGCCAGGGGCUGCCGGCGCCGCCGCGCAGGGCGUCGGGGUCUGCGCAAGUGGCGCAGCCGCUUCAUGGCGGCUGCUCGGCCGCCGUGUCCCUGCACCGUUCGCUGCCGAGCUGCAGCUCUCGCAGAGCUCCAGAGCCAGGAGCCUGCCGUGGGAGCUGCAGACACGUUCACAGAAGGCGUGCCAUCGUGUCCCAAGGGUUAUGUAAGGCCUAAAGGGGGCUGUCAUACAGGAGUUUUUCUGUUGCAUCUCUGGGAUGAAGCUUCUUCAAGGAUUGAAUGCUGAAGGAUUCAGCAGGAUAUAUGGUGUUCCAUAGCUCACACUGACUUUGGCAGGUGGGAACCAAAGAAGUUUCUGUGCUUGGCUGCUCAUAGCAUCCCUUCAGAUGUGCCACACUCUGUCAGCCUCAGAGACCUGCUGCAUGAAUACAAUUGAUGAAGGCAGUGAACCGUAAUGCAGAGGACAAAAAAAAUUGUGAAAUGCCUUCUAUUUCAUGCAUCUCACCUUCUCCUUAAAUUCCUUCUCUUCUUGUCAUGGGAGACACCAUUAUUCAUAUCUGAGAAUGUAGCGGCCCAAUUGUUUGUUUGACUUUUUGGGAAAAAAUUUACCUAAAGAAUCUUUUUUUCAGUCUAUCCCCUUGACUUUGCCAAUAAGAAAACCCCACAGCUCCUGUCCCCCCAACAAACAAGUCCUACCAACCAACCAAAAUAACAAACAAAACAACCAAAAAACCAAAAAGGAAUUUUAUGUCUAGCAGUUGCAGUGCCACCUUGCAUCCAUCAGUCCCCUUUGUGAUUUGUCCAAAUUCUACCUCCCCUUUGUAUUUUCCCCCUCUCUCUCCUCCGCUUGCACUGGACACCAGUGAUGCUUUAAUUCAAAUCAGGUAGUUUCCAAUUGGCAUAGUGGUGGUUCUGGAUUUUUUCCUGCGAGUCUGAACUUGCAGAAUUGAUGCAUAAUUCCAGCCCGAGUGCACUGCCACCGGUUAUUUUGAGAAGGGAUGUCUAUCAAGUGUCUUGAGGAACCCUCUGCGUUGCAGGCUGUGUGGCACAGGAGUAGGAGUUGCUGCUCAGAUGCAUUAUCUGACUGAGAGGAAGAGAGAUGCCCCUUGCUGCACAUAUGGGAGAGCUCAGAAGCCGGGCAGGCUCCUAUGGAAAGAGCCCAUGAGAUGUGGGAAAGGAGCUUUCAGAGCUGGGAGCUUUCCCUUACUGUUGCCGAGCUGGAAUCACCACGACUUACCCAGUGUAAUAGGUUGCCUUGCAGUGAUUCCAAGGCUGAUUCCUGCUGGGUGGGGGUUCCAGACAGUGCUGGUGACAGGGUGGCUGGGGCUGUGUGGCACUGCAGCACCCCAGUGCAUCCUGCAUCUCAUCCCAUGCUGGCCAGGGGGCUGGCUGGGCUGCCUUUAUUCAGAGUGCCCCAUUAAAGCAGCAUGGACAUGCAGAUAAUGUGAGCCAAAGCACCCGUGUAGAGAAUUACUGCAGAGUAAGUAAUGCACUGGCAAUUCACACCCUAGUUUAUUCCAUGUUAAUUUCUCCAACAUAAUCACCUCCUGCACCUUCUAAUUUCCCCAACAGUUUUUCAGCCUGUGCCUUUAUUCGCAGCCUUAUUUUUCUCCAAAGCCAUCGUGACCCACCCGAUGAAUGAAGUAGCUGGCACACACAUUUAACUGAAUGCGAAAUGUACUCAUUCAGUUUUACCUGUGAUAGAAGCCUGUCUCAAGGAGAGCUGUACUGUAGAAAAAAAAAGCCUGGGGAAAAAAGAAAAGCAAAACCCAAAUCCAAACUGAAAAAUACACCUCUAUUUUUCAUUUAAACAUUUCUUUUGGCACUUCUACUGAAGCAGAAUGUUCUUAACAGCAAACCCAUUCAUACUGUGCAGAUUGACUUUUAGAGGAAUUGUUUGCAUUGUCUCUUGGAAAAAUGCACUAAUAAUACAUUGGAUAUGUGCUUGAAUUGUACAAUAUGGCGUGGAUGGUGUCAAAGCAUUGCAGAAGGCUUUGUGCUUGUUCUCUACAGGAUUUUAAUUUGCAGAGUAUUGCUAUUAAACUUCUGUAUCUGUAGAGGUGACUUUGAGUGACACUGAUUUAACAAUACUCACUGAGGCAAGAUCAUUCCAACCCUUCUAGACAGUGGUGCACUUUAAGCCACCUGGGAGGUCCCUUCUCUUUCCCCUUCCUUUGGAAAAUCCUUUGCAGUAGA